UGUUUUGUGCAACGGCAAUAUCAUAGACAGUGAGGUUUAUCUGAGACACAAUUAUUGCUAAUUGAAAACUAUGGUAUUCUUUUAGAGUCCAUGUCUGAGUUUGAAUUAGGUAAACGUGGCCUUCUGAUUAUCAAAUCCAGAUGGU
rnacentral:snRNA from 1 species